CCCACAGACCCUUGCAGCUUUUCAUGGGGAAAGGAAAUGCUCCGCGCAUCCCCAUGUCUCGGCUGCCACUUCAGUGCCUGAGAUGAAUUCAUUGUCACAAUAUAGGUAGUUCAGAGCUCAGCUGUCUAGCUGGAAACCUCUGAGGCAGAGAGCUCUGUCCUCACUUCCGUCACUCAUUUGAGAAUUCUUCAUUGCAGAAAGUUAUACCUCUGGAUUACAGUCUAGAAAGAACAAAAGGCCAAGGCCAAGACCAAGAUGGAGAGACAGGAGGACAGAGGAAAAAGUUACCACUGAAGUGCUCACAUCUCACAGUGACAGACCGACAAAAGAAGUGAAAAAAGACUGCGUGGUGACCAGUGCUCAGCUGAAAUCAUCUACAGGGAGGGAACAUGUAGAAGAAAGGAAUCUCAGUUCGGGGGAGAGGGCUAGAA